UAGCACUCUAUUUGAUAUCCAGUUUGUGCUCAUGUUGGACAUGUGGCAGGAAAAGCACAAUCCACUUCGCCCUGUUGGUGGAGUGAAACUCCAUGGGAUGCAGGACCCAACAGAAGCCAGGAACUUGCAGUAACAUGUCAGGCUCCUGUUCAUAAGAUACUGCAUAGACAGCCCUUCAAAAUUUCUGCAAUUUCUUUUAUCUGGCUCUCUUUCCAUUACUUUCUCCUGCAAGCUGGGGUUUAUCUGAUUGUGUGGUGGAUGGAAACUUCAAGAUAAUAUUCAAUGUCCAAAGAUUGAGUCAAGUUUACACUGGCUAUUGCCACGAAGAGGUUUUGGAAGUUCCAGUCUGUGAUCAGUUGGCCUGAUUGCUUUGGACCUCUGACAAUACAGCACAACAUUGCAGGAUUUGUGGUAGGACAAAACUGUUCAUCUCACAGACGAAGAGGAAGAGACGAUGAUCCCACAGUCACUGCAAGUUUAUGUUUCCCAUGAGCUAAGGAUCUCUCACCCCACCUUGUAAAGAUUCCACCAGUUCCCAAUAGCACCACUCUAGGGACCAAGUCUUUAACACAUGGGCCUUUGAGGGAACAGUCAAGAGUCAAAAUAUAGCACUUGUACUUU